rnacentral:misc_RNA from 1 species
AUGAAAGAAAAAUCAGUAGGCGAGGAUCUGCGGAGAAGCUCAUAAUACGAGGAGUGUUUGAGAAAACCGGCAGCCAUGGCCGGGAAUAUGGGGAUGGAGCAAUUGAUCCCAAUUGUUAAUAAGUUACAAGAUGCAUUCACUCAGUUGGGUGUGCAUAUGCAGCUGGAUUUGCCGCAAAUCGCAGUAGUAGGUGGCCAGUCUGCAGGAAAGAGCUCUGUGUUAGAAAAUUUUGUGGGCAGGGAUUUUCUACCCCGAGGAUCUGGAAUAGUAACUCGUCGCCCAUUGAUUCUGCAGCUCAUACAUGGAAACACAGAAUAUGCGGAGUUCCUCCACUGCAAAGGCAAGAAAUUCGUUGAUUUCAAUGAAGUACGCGCUGAGAUUGAAUCUGAGACUGAUCGCAUCACCGGCUCCAACAAGGGCAUCUCACCAGUCCCGAUCAAUCUGCGUGUAUACUCCCCAAAUGUGCUCAACUUGACCCUGAUUGACUUGCCGGGUCUGACGAAGGUGCCCAUUGGCGACCAGCCCGCGGACAUCGAGCAGCAGAUCAAGGGCAUGAUCUUCCAGUUCAUCAGGCGCGAGUCAUGUCUCAUCCUCGCCGUCACGCCCGCCAACACCGAUUUGGCCAACAGCGAUGCUUUGAAACUCGCGAAGGAAGUCGAUCCACAAGGUCUGCGUACGAUCGGUGUGAUUACGAAGCUAGAUUUGAUGGACGAAGGCACGGAUGCUCGCGAUGUGCUCGAGAACAAACUGUUGCCGCUGCGGCGCGGAUACAUCGGCGUCGUCAACCGAUCGCAGAAGGAUAUCGAUGGACGCAAGGAUAUCACUGCGGCUUUGGCUGCGGAAAGGAAAUUCUUCCUCAGCCAUCCUUCAUACCGUCACUUGGCAGACCGUCUCGGCACCCCUUACCUCCAACGCGUUCUCAACCAACAGCUGACGAACCACAUCCGCGACACUUUGCCCGGCCUUCGCGAUAAGUUGCAGAAACAGUUGCUGACACUCGAGAAAGAUGUCGACCAGUACAAGCACUUCAGACCUGAUGACCCUUCUAUCAAGACUAAGGCUAUGUUGCAAAUGAUCCAGACUUUGCAAACGGACUUUGAGCGCACAAUCGAAGGUUCUGGCUCAGCACAGAUCAACACAAACGAACUGUCGGGCGGUGCCAAAAUCAAUCGGUUGUUCCACGAACGAUUCCCAUUCGAAAUUGUCAAAAUGGAAUUCGACGAGAAGGAACUGCGUAGGGAGAUUGCAUUCGCUAUUAGGAAUAUUCACGGUAUUAGGGUGGGCUUGUUCACUCCGGACAUGGCGUUCGAGGCUAUUGUAAAGAAACAGAUUGCGCGAUUGAAGGAACCCAGUCUCAAGUGCGUUGAUCUUGUCGUAUCGGAGCUGUCCAACGUCGUUCGUAUCUGCACUGAAAGGAUGUCGCGAUACCCCAGGUUGCGUGAAGAGACGGAACGCAUUAUCAUGUCUUACGUUCGUUCUCGCGAACAAAUGUGCAAGGAUCAACUGGUAUUGCUUAUCGACUGCGAGCUUGCUUACAUGAAUACUAACCACGAGGACUUCAUCGGAUUUGCCAAUGCUCAAAAUCAGUCUGAGAACUCUACGAAAUCAGGACAUCGCGCGCUAGGAAACCAAGUCAUCAGGAAAGGAUACAUGUGCAUUCACAACUUGGGAAUCAUGAAAGGAGGUUCCAAGGAUUACUGGUUCGUGUUGACUGCGGAAAGCAUCUCGUGGUUCAAAGACGAGGAAGAACGAGAGAAGAAGUACAUGCUACCUCUGGACGGACUGAAACUGCGGGAUCUCGAACAGGGCUUCAUGUCGAGGCGGCAUAUGUUCGCACUCUUCAACCCUGAAGGCAGGAAUGUUUACAAGGAUUACAAACAACUAGAGUUGUCGUGUGAGACACAAGACGACGUGGAUUCUUGGAAGGCGUCGUUCCUACGUGCGGGAGUCUACCCGGAGAAGACCUCCGAAGCUGCCAAUGGAGACGAGAGUUCAGACAGUUCGGGCACAAGUAGCAUGGACCCUCAACUGGAACGACAGGUGGAGACUAUCCGCAACCUCGUGGACUCGUACAUGCGCAUCGUGACCAAGACGACCCGCGACCUCGUGCCCAAGACCAUCAUGAUGAUGAUCAUCAAUAAUGCCAAAGAUUUCAUCAACGGGGAACUGCUUGCGCAUUUGUAUGCUUCCGGUGAUCAGUCACAAAUGAUGGAAGAAUCCCCCGAAGAGGCACUGAAGCGCGAGGAAAUGCUCCGCAUGUACCACGCGUGCAAGGAGGCUUUACGGAUAAUCGGCGACGUUUCCAUGGCAACGGUGAGCACGCCCGUGCCGCCGCCCGUGAAGAACGACUGGCUGGAGAGCCGCCUGGACUCCAACCCGCGCCUGUCGCCGCCCUCGCCCGGCGGCCCGCGCCGCGCCGCGCCCGCGCAACAAGGGUCGCUAGGCAGCCGUGGCGCCCCUCCCCCUCCCGGCGGCGCGGGGCGGCCGGCGCCCCCGCUGCCCUCGCGCCCCGGCGGCGGCGCCCCACCGCCCCCCGCCGGGCGACCUGCUCCCGGACAACCCGGCUUGCCAGCGCCACUUGUACCCACGAGGCCGGGAGGAGCGAUGGGGGCGAGCGCGGUGGCCGGCGCCUACAACCAGAUGCCGCCUCACAUGCGCCAACAGGUCAACCAGGCAGUCGGCCAGGCCGUCACCAACGCGGCCAUCAACGAACUCAGCUCAGCCUUCGCCAGAUUCAAGUAAACACGACUCUUGUCCGUAACGACUGUUGUAUGUACGCAACUCAUUUGUGGGAAACGCCCUCACUUCGAUCUCUUGCGCGCAUCUUUGGGUGACAUGUGUCAUUAUCUUGUCACUUUUGAAUCACGGAGGACUAUGACUAGUGGAGAUGCUAUAACGCAAAAUUUUCUAAGAAAGUAGUGCAAAAUGCGGGUGGGUAUUCGGGGGACGAGGUAUGUCCUUUGGGAAAAUCACAUCACAUGUCAAUGUAUCAAGGAACCCGAAGGCCUCGUUAGUUUAAUAGUAACUGAUCGAUUUGUUCAUGCCCUACCUACAAGAAGGUGCCUCAUAGCAUCUCCGCACAUCUUUCCUUCCUCCGUGGUGACGUCACUACCUCGUCGUCUUUUGGACGCGGUUUCAAAAGUGUUAGAUGCGCGCUAACACAUAUCAGUAUUGACGUUCUUAGUACAAGUAUACAGCAGAACGGACAUAUCAAUGUUGUUACCCCCACUGCCCCACUAAUAUGACUUACAUUUGGUAUCACACAAUUUUCCUAUCACAUAAAAGAAAAACUUCACGUGAAAAAAUGUGUGUACCAAUUUUUUUUAGUUCUAUACCUUUUUUAGAGGUAGAAAUAUUUAAAUUAAAUGUGACGAUUCGAAGUGACUGCGUUUGUUACAAGUGAUGUCUGUUAGUUAACCAACUUUCUCCUUGAUGUAAACUAUUGUAUGUCUUCUACAUGUAAUAUUGUAUAAAAUUUAAAACAUCGCCUAAAAUGAAAUAAAUAAUUAAGUUGUUAUCUAUUAGGAGAUAUUUUCCUAAUACUAAAGCGAUGUUUUAAAGUUUAUGAAAGUUCUGUUGCUUAUGAUGUUUUUACAAAAUAACUUUAUCCGAGCAUUUUCAGAGCACAUUGUUUAACCGCUUGAACGUUUAGUGUGAACUAAACCUGUCUGUACGUGGGUCUAUAUGCAGUGUUGUGUUACAUUGCUUUGCGUCCAACCACUGUAAAUGUAAUCCAAUGUGCCUGUGUAACAAUGUACGCUGCACACGAUAUAAACUCUGCUUGUGAUACAUAACCAACGUUACCCUAGGGUUAUACGAUUUUAUAUAUUUAAUUAUUAUUUUGUGUUUGUUAUAAAUUCGGUCAAGUGUAAAUUGACGUCUAAAUCACUCCUAAAUAAGCUCAAUCAUCACAAUAUGAAAAUCACGGAGAUCACACAAUGUUAUGAACAUUGCAUUCAUAGUAAUAAAUUACCCACAACUAUGACAUCAAUUCUAUGUAUUGUUACCGAUAUUGUGGCAUAGGAUUUUUGUGUACAUUCCAAUGAAUUUAAUUUCGAUGCAAGUGAGAUAUGUUUGCGAGGAUUUUUUAAUAACGUCUAUAACAAGCUAAUGACCACAUAAAAUACUUGCAAACCUAUCUACACUUUUCAUAAAUAAUGAUUUAUGUAAUGGAAUUUAGGUUAUAAUUUAUUAGGGUUGUUACCCAAUAUUAUAUACUUACAACAAAGAAACUUAAUUAUGUAUAGCGUCAAAAUUAUAAAACGACUAAAUUGUUCAGUAUUAAUAGUGAACGAGGUAUCGGUUCACAGCGCUUCAUGAUUAUGAGAUGAGACAUACGUAUGCUAAACGCGAAUAUACCGCGGACUACGUAUUACUUAAAUUAUUAUAAUUACAAUGUAAUUACAUUUGUGUUACGAUUAAUUGUAAAUGUUACAUUCAGUGGCUUAAUAUAGGUGUAUAUUGGGAUUACGUAGUUGAGUUGUUUCGCGGAGGGCAUUACGGGCUCCCGCGCUGGGCCGGGAGUCCUCGAGCAUAUCAAAUUGUUUUGUAAUGUGCUAGAGUUGUUUGUACACUAUGUAAAGACGAGAUAAUAUUUGUUGAUGUUGCCGCACCAUUGUCGCGUAGAACUAGCUGCGUAGUAACAGUCGUUACAAGUUGUACUCACGUCAGUGUCUAGGUGUUACAGUAGUUUAGAACUUUGACACGCUCGUCUAAUCUCUUUCCGUCUCCAGUAGCGACGAUGCGUAUUUAACGUUUAUGCAUUUACUCUAAAUUAUACCCAGCUUGAUUGUUGUUGUAUAUUUACAACUAUGUCAGUUUAAUCUGGUAUUUAGUCAACACUGGUAACACGUAACUUAUGAAAUCGUAACGAUAUUAUAUCGAUUAAAAUUUGUAUGUAAAAUUAACUGUACUUAUAAUGGAUAAGACCAAAGCAGUUGUCUCGUAUAUUGUUGCUGUUAGCAAUACCUUUGGUCAAUUAUUAGAACAUUUUAUUGAUGGUGAUACAAUAUGAAUUCGUUAUUAAAAAUAUUAAAUAAAGCUUAUCGAUAUUUUAAUCUUGGAAUCAUCUUGCAUCCAUUUUUCAUCGUUUACGAUUGCGAUAAUUGACACUGAACAUCGUGACAGCGGUGAUGUGCAUACUACGGACGGUAGUGUGAGGACGUGAGCGGAGUCGCGGUGACAGUGUGAGCGUGCCACGGCCGAGUUCCUACACGAAGAAGUGUUUAACGCUGUAGCUAUACUCAUUGCUCUAUCGAUAUUAGCCGAAUAAUAUACAAAGUAAUCGAUCAUUAAACGUUUUGCUCUCUCUAUCUUGUUAAUAGCGUUAGUACCAUCGAAAAGGUAUAGGCAGUGAUUGUUGGAUUUGAUAUAGUUUAUGAAUAUUGUUAAUCUUAUGCUGUAUAAAUAGAGUAAUUAAAUGCUAUAUGUGUACUAAAGACGUUUGAUUUAUUCCAGUAGUUUUGGCAAACAUAAUGCCCAUUGGCUUCACUAAGUUACUAACAGUUUCGGAUAAUAUUACCGAAAGGAUUUAAUUUUAGUCGUCCAGUGCCGAACAUGCCGCCGAAGCUGCCUGAGCGACCACAGAACGGACGGCCAUUUUGAACGCGCCACUUCUUCGCCGCCAUCUUGUGAUACUAAGCGUCAAUGUAAAUAUGUUCCCUACUAUGUACCUAUAUUGCUUACAAUUAUUUAAUGCUUAGCAUUGACUAAUGACUAUGAGUCGAUGAAAUUCGUAUUUACAAUAUAAUUUAAAACUAAAUAGUUCAAUUUUUAUCUUCUUACUACGAGCCCAGAAAAAGGAGCGCUUGCAAAAUGCGUAAUGUAAAGUGAGGAACUUGCAUUAACUAAUGUACUAAGUUACUGAAUACUUAAUAUAAUACAAUGCGUACCUUUGUAAUUUGUUGGUACAUUUCGUGAUGAUAAGCACUAGCACGCGAUCUUAUAGAUGUACGUAUAAUUAAUGGUAAUGAGUAUGACACAUGUUACGAUGACCUAUAUUCAAUGUUGCAGUUGAUGAAUUAAUAAUGAAAUUAUUGUUUGGUUUAGAUAUUUAAAAAUAUUUUAAUGUCCUUGUGCUGAAGUGAUGUCUGUAGCAAGCUGUCGGAUCUUCGACUGAUAUUAUAAGUAGGAUAUUGGCAUGUUUGUGAUAGAAGAGGCUACUCAAUAAAAUGGUUGCGCCUUCAAGUAGAGAUGUACUUUUCACAUUUAACGUGUUAUUGUGGCAUUUAGUAUUAAGACCUGGCUCGUGAGCAUCGAGGCGGUUAUGCAUCGAGUUUAAAGAGAUUCUAAUGUACAGACAAAGCAUUUAUUUACUGACUUGUCCGAUGUAUUCUAACGUCUGUACCUACAUACCCUUAUAAGACUAGUCAAGCUUUAUCUUUUACUAUAUUUAAAUUUACCUUUUUUAAUCAUGCCCAUAUUGUGUAGAUUGUUUUCUAGGAAAAUAUUUUAGUUUUCAUACAUUCCUUUAGCCUCGUGCUCCCGCGCCAGGUUGUUACAUGUAUAUAAAUGUAUAAAUAUUAUUAUAGACCUGUUUAUAUUUGUGUACUGUUGUAUGCAACUGUAAUAAAUGUGUAAAUAAAAUA